rnacentral:rRNA from 1 species
AGUGAACGCUGGCGGCAGGCCUAAUACAUGCAAGUCGAACGGCAGCACAGUGGAGCUUGCUCCAUGGGUGGCGAGUGGCGGACGGGUGAGGAAUACAUGGGAAUCUGCCCAGUCGUGGGGGAUAACGUAGGGAAACUUACGCUAAUACCGCAUGCGCCCUUCGGGGGAAAGCCGGGGACCGUAAGGCCUGGCGCGAUUGGAUGAGCCCAUGUCGGAUUAGCUAGUUGGCGGGGUAACGGCCCACCAAGGCGACGAUCCGUAGCUGGUCUGAGAGGAUGAUCAGCCACACUGGAACUGAGACACGGUCCAGACUCCUACGGGAGGCAGCAGUAGGGAAUAUUGGACAAUGGGCGCAAGCCUGAUCCAGCCAUGCCGCGUGAGUGAAGAAGGCCCUCGGGUUGUAAAGCUCUUUUGUCCGGAAAGAAAAGCACUGGGUUAAUACCCCGGUGUCCUGACGGUACCGGAAGAAUAAGCACCGGCUAACUUCGUGCCAGCAG